GACGAACGCUGGCGGCGUGCUUAACACAUGCAAGUCGAGCGGUAAGGCCUUUCGGGGUACACGAGCGGCGAACGGGUGAGUAACACGUGGGUGACCUGCCCUCAGCUCUGGGAUAAGCCCGGGAAACUGGGUCUAAUACCGGAUAUGACUCCACGGUGCAUGUCGUGGGGUGGAAAGCCUUGUGCGGCUGAGGAUGGGCCCGCGGCCUAUCAGCUUGUUGGUGGGGUGAUGGCCUACCAAGGCGACGACGGGUAGCCGGCCUGAGAGGGCGACCGGCCACACUGGGACUGAGACACGGCCCAGACUCCUACGGGAGGCAGCAGUGGGGAAUCUUGCGCAAUGGGCGAAAGCCUGACGCAGCGACGCCGCGUGAGGGAUGAC
rnacentral:rRNA from 1 species